rnacentral:rRNA from 1 species
UACGUAGGUGACAAGCGUUGUCCGGAUUUACUGGGCGUAAAGAGCGCGCAGGCGGUCGUUCAAGUCGAGUGUGAAAGCCCCCGGCUCAACUGGGGAGGGUCACUCGAUACUGAUCGACUCGAAGGCAGGAGAGGGUAGUGGAAUUCCCGGUGUAGUGGUGAAAUGCGUAGAUAUCUGGAGGAAUACCGGUGGCGAAGGCGGCAUCCUGGACCGAGAUUGACACUGAUGAGCGAAAGCCAGGGGAGCAAACGGG